rnacentral:rRNA from 1 species
UACGUAGGUGGCAAGCGUUGUCCGGAUUUACUGGGCGUAAAGAGCGCGCAGGCGGUCGUUCAAGUCGCGUGUGAAAAGCCCCCCGGCUCAACUGGGGAGGGUCACGCGAUACUGAUCGACUCGAAGGCAGGAGAGGGUAGUGGAAUUCCCGGUGUAGUGGUGAAAUGCGUAGAGUAAUCGGGAGGAACACCAGUGCGAAGGGCG